rnacentral:rRNA from 1 species
UACGGGGGGGGCAAGCGUUGUUCGGAAUUACUGGGCGUAAAGGGCGCGUAGGCGGCCUGCUAAGUCGGACGUGAAAUCCCUCGGCUCAACCGAGGAACUGCGUCCGAUACUGGUGGGCUUGAAUCCGGGAGAGGGAUGUGGAAUUCCAGGUGUAGCGGUGAAAUGCGUAGAUAUCUGGAGGAACACCGGUGGCGAAGGCGGCAUCCUGGACCGGCAUUGACGCUGAGGCGCGAAAGCCAGGGGAGCAAACGGG